rnacentral:rRNA from 1 species
GACGAACGCUGGCGGCGUGCUUAACACAUGCAAGUCGAACGGAAAGGCCCUGCUUUUGUGGGGUGCUCGAGUGGCGAACGGGUGAGUAACACGUGAGUAACCUGCCCUUGACUUUGGGAUAACUUCAGGAAACUGGGGCUAAUACCGGAUAGGAGCUCCUGCUGCAUGGUGGGGGUUGGAAAGUUUCGGCGGUAGGGGCUGGACUCGCGGCUUAUCAGCUUGUUGGUGGGGUAGUGGCUUACAAAGGUUUUGACGGGUAGCCGACAUGGGAGGGUGGCCAGCCACAUGACGACUGAGGUACGGCGCAGACUCCAACGGGGGGCAGCGGUGGGAAAUAUUACACAGUGGGCGGAAGCGUGAUACAACAACGCCGCGUGCGGGAUGACGGCCUUCGGGUUGUAAACCGCUUUCGCCUGUGGCGAAGCGUGAGUGACGGUAAUGGGUAAAGAAGCACCGGCUAACUACGUG